CACUUUGUCCGCUCCGUAAACAGCUCCACAGACUCGCUGUCCUGGGACGAGGAGCAGAUAGUGCUGCUGAUGAGAAAGCUGAGGAAGAACGAGGACCAGAGAAGAAAACAGGGGUCUCUUCAGUAUUCAAAGAAGAUUAAGCAAAAGGCUUACUAAAUCACACCAUAAAUAUCCGGUUUCACAGUUCACGUGAUCUAAAGGAAAUUGCACGUGACUCGCCACAAGCAGGUGCAGUUUUACAGCUUGUGAAAUAAAAUCUGAGCUGUUCAGUUUCCUGCAUGAAUAAAAUGAUUCCAGCAAUGGCACAGUUGCAGACUCACUUACCGGGGUCUUAAGAGGCUUAAGCUGAAGGCUGUGUUGUG